GAAUCCAAACCCCUUUCAGAGUAACAAUUGGAGGGCAAGUCUGGUGCCAGCAGCCGCGGUAAUUCCAGCUCCAAUAGCGUAUAUUAAAGUUGUUGCAGUUAAAAAGCUCGUAGUUGGAUUUCUGCUGGAAGCAACCAGUCCGGUCUAUUUUAGAUUGUGCACUUGGUGAAUUCUGGCAUCCUCCUGAUUGAUGUGUGUUGUUUGUUGCGGCACGCAGCGAUUAGGACUGUUACUUUGAGAAAAUUAGAGUGUUUCAAGCAGGCUUAUGGCCUUGAAUACUGCAGCAUGGAAUAACAAUAUAGGAUUUCGGUUCUAUUUUGUUGGUUUUUAGGACUGAAGUAAUGAUUAAUAGGGACAGUUGGGGGCAUUCGUAUUUAACUGUCAGAGGUGAAAUUCUUAGAUUUGUUAAAGACGAACUACUGCGAAAGCAUUUGCCAAAGAUGUUUUCAUUAAUCAAGAACGAAAGUUAGGGGCUCGAAGACGAUCAGAUACCGU
rnacentral:rRNA from 1 species